rfam:Dolosigranulum pigrum ATCC 51524 genomic scaffold supercont1.2, whole genome shotgun sequence.
UCACAGCUACAACCGCUCGCGUGUAAGUCUAGAAGUGCUUAACAGCCACUUGCCGCGGCGAGUCUGAGUUUUGAU